AAAGAAGCUUGAAACCUUGAUCAAAUCCAAAAAGAGUGGGAGAGCACUGUACUCAAUGCAUGAAUUUGGGGCCAAAGACUUCAAGGUUAUGAUAAACAUGCACGAAUGGUGGGAGGAUUGGGUACUUAGGGUUGUCCGAUGAGUCUACAAAUGUGGGUGUCGUGCCCUAUGAUCAAAGACUUGCUCUCUUUAGGUGGGACGAUGAUGGUCUCGCUUUUCCCAGAGGUAGUGUGCCCUACCCAGGUGGCUGCGAGUGGAUUGGUGCCAAAAGGAUCAUAGCUGUCAUGAAUAUUAAUGACAACCAUUUUGUCACUAUUGAGAUCAUCAUUGAGGAGGGUAUCAUAAAUGCUUAUGAUUGCAACAUCCCAUGUAAUGAAGACAGUGCUUU